rnacentral:rRNA from 1 species
CAGGACGAACGCUGGCGGCACGCUUAACACAUGCAAGCCGAACGGAGUUAUCGAGAGCUUGCUUUGGAACUUAGUGGCGACGGGUGAGUAACACGUGAGCAAUCUGCCCCUAAGAGGGGGAUAGCAGUUGGAAACGACUGAUAAUACCGCAUAAGAUAGUAGUACCGCAUGGUACAGCUAUAAAAGAUUUAUCGCUUAAGGAUGAGCUCGCGUCUGAUUAGCUAGUUGGUGAGGUAACGGCUCACCAAGGCAACGAUCAGUAGCCGGACUGAGAGGUUGGACGGCCACAUUGGGACUGAGACACGGCCCAGACUCCUACGGGAGGCAGCAGUGGGGAAUAUUGCACAAUGGAGGAAACUCUGAUGCAGCGAUGCCGCGUGAGGGAAGAAGGUUUUAGGAUUGUAAACCUCUGUUGACAGGGACGAUAAUGACGGUACCUGUUGAGGAAGCUCCGGCUAACUACGUGCCAGCCGCAGC